UAGGGAAUCUUCGGCAAUGGACGGAAGUCUGACCGAGCAACGCCGCGUGAGUGAAGAAGGUUUCCGGAUCGUAAAGCUCUGUUGUAAGAGAAGAACGAGUGUGAGAGUGGAAAGUUCACACUGUGACGGUAUCUUACCAGAAAGGGACGGCUAACUACGUGCCAGCAGCCGCGGUAAUACGUAGGUCCCGAGCGUUGUCCGGAUUUAUUGGGCGUAAAGCGAGCGCAGGCGGUUAGAUAAGUCUGAAGUUAAAGGCUGUGGCUUAACCAUAGUACGCUUUGGAAACUGUUUAACUUGAGUGCAAGAGGGGAGAGUGGAAUUCCAUGUGUAGCGGUGAAAUGCGUAGAUAUAUGGAGGAACACCGGUGGCGAAAGCGGCUCUCUGGCUUGUAACUGACGCUGAGGCUCGAAAGCGUGGGGAGCAAACAGGAUUAGAUACCCUGGUAGUCCACGCCGUAAACGAUGAGUGCUAGGUGUUAGACCCUUUCCGGGGUUUAGUGCCGCAGCUAACGCAUUAAGCACUCCGCCUGGGGAGUACGACCGCAAGGUUG
rnacentral:rRNA from 1 species